AAACAACUGUCUACACUCUUUGUGGGCAAGAGCUUGCCAGGCUGUGCUUCAUGGUCACUAAGGAUGCUGGCUGGGAAGGAGCAGGAUGGGAUGCUUGGGCAGAAGAGGGAUACAGCUGAGGAGUUGCAGGUCCUGUGCUAGGGGCUAGGAAGACAAAGAGAAACAGAGUCACAUCCUCCCACAAAAAUCCAUGAGAUGUCGGAGAGCCGAACUUGUAAACAGCCAUCAUCAACACAAAGAAGGAUGCACUGAUGCUCUCUAGAGGCUCACAGGAAAUGAUUCAUGGGCAUAGAGGUGCUGUGACAGCAUCAAUCAGGCCUUGGCAGGCGAGGGAGCCCUCUGAAGAAGCGGCCAGUGGACAAGCUGAAGACAUGUUUACCCAUGUGUCAGAAGCACCUGGGGAGCUCUUUGAAAUUGCUGGGGCUGACCCCUGGCCACUGCUCUGCAUCAGAAUCCCCUGGAGGCUGGUGAAGCACGUUUCCAGGUGCCAUACCCAGAAUUUCUGAUUCAAAAGGUCUGGGGUGGGGCCUGAGAAUUAGAGCCUGUUCCUAACACGUUCCCAGGUGAUGCUCAUGCUGCUGGUCUGCAGCCCCUGGUCUGCGAGCCACUGACUAGGGAUUCUAACUCAGUAGGUCUGGAGACGGUCCCAGGUGGUUCUGACCUGGUGGUAUUCUGAAGUCCACACCUGGAGAAACACCGCCCUGAGACUGAAUAAAUUCUGUGAUGAACAUUCUCACUGUGCUGCUGCCGUGCAAGGGAGAACUGGCCGAAGAGUUAUUUGGCCAGCUUGAGUGACGCGGAUCCUGAGAGCGCUCCGGGGUAGGCAGUUGCCCCGGUUGGACACCUCGUCAGAGCAGCGCGUGGCAGGCCCCGGUGGAGGAUCAAUGCAGUGGCUGAACACCGGG
rnacentral:lncRNA from 10 species